GAUGAAGAACGCAGCAAAAUGCGAUAAGUAAUGUGAAUUGCAGAAUUCAGUGAAUCAUCGAAUCUUUGAACGCACAUUGCGCCCGCCAGUAUUCUGGCGGGCAUGCCUGUUCGAGCGUCAUUUCAACCCUCAAGCACAGCUUGGUGUUGGGACUCGCGUUAAUUCGCGUUCCUCAGAUUGAUUGGCGGUCACGUCGAGCUUCCAUAGCGUAGUAGUAAAACCCUCGUUACUGGUAAUCGUCGCGGCCACGCCGUUAAACCCCAACUUCUGAAUGUUGACCUCGGAUCAGGUAGGAAUACCCGCUGAACUUAAGCAUAUCAAUAAGCGGAGGA
rnacentral:misc_RNA from 1 species